rnacentral:rRNA from 1 species
UGAGGAAUAUUGGACAAUGGGCGCAAGCCUGAUCCAGCCAUGCCGCGUGCAGGAUGACGGUCCUAUGGAUUGUAAAAUACUUUCACCGGUGAAGAUAAUGACUGUAGCCGGAGAAGAAGCCCCGGCUAACUUCGUGCCAGCAGCCGCGGUAAUACGAAGGGAGCUAGCGUUGUUCGGAAUCACUGGGCGUAAAGCGCACGUAGGUGGGCAGUUAAGUCAGGGGUGAAAGCCCGAGGCUCAACCUCGGAAUUGCCUCUGAUACUGGCUGUCUAGAGUUCGAGAGAGGUGAGUGGAAUUCCUAGUGUAGAGGUGAAAUUCGUAGAUAUUAGGAAGAACACCGGUGGCGAAGGCGGCUCACUGGCUCGAUACUGACACUGAGGUGCGAAAGCGUGGGGAGCAAACAGGAUUAGAUACCCCAGUAGUCCCUGAGCGGGCUGGCAAGGCGCAU